UGGGGAAUUUUGCGCAAUGGGGGAAACCCUGACGCAGCAACGCCGCGCGAGUGAUGAAGGCCUUCGGGUCGUAAAGCUCUGUCAGAGGGGAAGAAAUGCAGGGGUGCUAAUAUCAUCUUUGCUUGACGGUACCCUCAAAGGAAGCACCGGCUAAUUCCGUGCCAGCAGCCGCGGUAAUACGGAGGGUGCGAGCGUUGUUCGGGAUUAUUGGGCGUAAAGCGCGUGUAGGCGGUUUGGUAAGUCUGAUGUGAAAGCCCCGGGCUCAACCUGGGAAGUGCAUUGUAAACUGUCAGGCUUGAAUACGGUGGAGGGUAGUGGAAUUCCUAGUGUAGGAGUGAAAUCCGUAGAUAUUAGGAGGAACACCGGUGGCGAAGGCAGCUACCUGGACCGAUAUUGACACUGAGACGCGAAAGCGUGGG
rnacentral:rRNA from 1 species